rnacentral:lncRNA from 1 species
UUCCACCCAAAGUUGCAUGCCACUGAUCCUUUUUAUUGCAACCUGAGUCAUCAUCUAAUUGAACACAUGAUGUCAAAUACCCUUCGGUUAGCACCACCGCCUAUGGACUCCAUUCAAUCUCUCCUUAUAUACCAGGUAAUAUCCAUUUUUUCUGUGAUCCUCACUCUUUCUUACCUAAAAUUCAUUUAACCUAUCGACGACUCCAUACCCAUUCGGUAAAUCGGGUCUUUUAACUAGAUAUGAACCGUCUCCUUCUCUUCUUCUUUCUCUCUAGAGGCAAAGAUUUAUUUGGACCAUCAUCGCUCUCUUAGGCAACCCGUGUGCUCCAAUCUGUAUCUUACCAUCGCUUCUACUUGUUAUUUUCUUUGGAAUACUUAAUAGACACUGCAAAAUUUUCACAAGCACUAGUGGGAGUCGAUUAACACUUUUACUGUCACAAACGGAUCCUGUAUACCCCCUUUCUCCUAAUCUAUAUCUUAUAUAAUUCUAUUUGUGUUAUUUUACCUGUCACAGAGAUGUAUGGGUUUAACUACACAACAAAAGAAAAAAAAAUAAACAUGUAUAAACAUCUAGGUUAUUCUUAUAAAAUAGGGUAGAAUGCAUCAGAUCAUUUACCUUCAUGCUUUUGUUGUUGUUGUAUGUACACCAACUGUUUGGUUUAAUUCUUCUUUUAAACUAUUGAUAAAUAUUUCACAACUUCAGCUGAUUUAAUGUUGUUUUGACAAUCCUAGGGCUUACGAGGAAGAUAAUGGAACAAGCUGAUGUCAUGGAUGUUUAAGAAGCUUUUAGUUGGACAAGUGUCUUUCCUUAUGUCUUUCUUUGCAUGUAACCAUGGUAUAAUUGACAUUUCUACAUUCAUUUCACAAGAAAGUACUAAUAUAGUUUCUGAAAAAAAAACUAAUCCAUAACUCUAAUUUUUUGAAGCUAAAUCCUGAAUUUGUAUGUGAAUUCUAGGCUUUAGUACGUCUCCGGUGUACGAAUCUUCUUCUUCUGACGUUAGUUUUUCCAAUGGAUUGUUGUUCUAUAUUUUAUUUUUAUAUGCACUCCUUUUAUUGUGUGCUUGGAUUUUUAAUUUUUUUAAUUUUUUUUAAUUUUUUUUUGCAUUUCUACAGCUUCCAAAUUGGCCCCUUUGGUUUCAAUAGAGCAGGCUACCUACAUCAAUAAAGUCUUAAAAUAAUGCAGAUACUUUUAUCAUCAAGAUAUCUUGACAAGAUAGAACAUGCUCUUCUAAAUUUGCUUAAGAUGCAAGAGAGAUUGGUAUUUUACGUUGAAUUAGACCGAGUAUUGUGAUGGAAUGAUUGCAACAAGCCCAUUAUCAAGAUACAGUUUUCUAAAUUUGCUUCAGAUACAAUUUUCUUUUUUUAUUGUACUUUAUUUUAUGUUCACCGCUUUGUAUACUUGAUGGGUUGAUGAUGAUUAUGAAUAUUUCAAUUAACCAACUAGAGAUUAAAUUCCAAUAAAAUUAACAAUUCCCUCUCCCUCCAAUGCCACCCUUUUCUCCUCAUAUUUUAGUUUAUUGUUGAUUGACCUUUGCUUUUUUGCAAGAGCAGAAAUCGUCUGAAAAUUCUGGAAAUGUUGAAGUUGUUUGAUAGGUUCAUAUGCCUAAAUUCUAACUGUAUCCAUCACGUUUCACACAAUUCUUCUUUCUCUUACACCGCUUCAAGUUCCAACCCUGGUAAGGAAGCUUAAAUACACAUUUAACCACUAAAAACCUAUGAUCCCCACUUUUUUACUUGAUCUAUUCUAAAUUUUUCGUAAAUGGAUGUAGACAUUUUUAUUUAAAUUUUAAGAAGUAGAAUCCUAAAUAACUAAAAUACACAUCAUCAUCAUUUCAUUCUUAUUAUUUUAAUGUCACUUGAUGUUGCCUUACCUCUUAUACCUUCAAAAUAACAACACAUAUUUUGAAAUUUAUGCAACUCUGCUGAUUUUGAGUUCAUCAAAAGUGGAAUAUUUGAUGUAUUGGACCUCCAUUUUACCAUGGUCGAGUUAUUAAUCUGUAGGUAUUGUCUUUUAGCCUUAGAAACAUCUGCU